UACAGAGGGUGCAAGCGUUAAUCGGAAUUACUGGGCGUAAAGCGUGCGUAGACGGUUACAUAAGUCGGGUGUGAAAGCCCCGGGCUCAACCUGGGAAUUGCAUUCGAGACUGCGUAGCUAGGGUGCGGAAGAGGGAAGCGGAAUUUCCGGCGUAGCGGUGAAAUGCGUAGAUAUCGGAAGGAACACCAGUGGCGAAAGCGGCUUCCUGGUCCAGCACCGACGUUCAGGCACGAAAGCGUGGGGAGCAAACAGG
rnacentral:rRNA from 1 species